rnacentral:lncRNA from 9 species
UUUUUUUUUUUUUUUUUUUUUUUUUUGGUCUUUUUAGAGUCUCACUUGUGGCAUAUGGAGGUUCCCAGGCUAAGGGGUGAAUCAGAGCUGUAGUUGCUGGCCUACGCCACAGCCACAGCAACGUGGGAUUCUAGCCACAUCUGCGACCUACACCAUAGCUCAGGGCAACACCAGAUCCUUAACCCACUGAGCAAGGAUUGAACCUGCAUCCUCAUGGAUGCUAGUCAGGUUCAUUUCCGCUGAGCCAUGACAGGAACUCCUCCUAAGUCAGUGAUUUUAAUUUAACCUGAGUUCUUGACAACCACAUAGUUAAAAACUGAACUUUGGUUUUGCUGAUAGUAACUGUCCAUGGCUUCAUGUUCCCAUUUCAAUACAACUUAGUUUUUUCCUCCCUUCCUUUUUGGAAAUCUCAGUAGAUAAAAUAAUCUGAAUUUAAAUUCAAACCCUCACUUCAUCCUUAGUCCUGAGUAACCCUAGUAGGGUUAGGAGUAAAGGCAAACAGCUGUCUACCAGCAGCUGCUGAUGACCAUGACAUCACUUUUCUAAUUAAAUAUAAUCCCAAAGUUUUAACCUUGGAAGAAAAACAUCCAAGUAAGGAGGACCGGCAGCUGAAGUAGUCUUGACCCCUCCUCUAUGCUUCAUCUUCUGCUUCUAUUCUACAUUCAAUUUUUCAUUCAGUAUUUUGUCAAAAAAUGUUUACUGAACCCUGUCUACACACUGGAGACAACAACGGACUCCACAGUCAAGGCUCCACCCUCACUUACUUUUGUCAUCAUCAGGGAAGGAAAGCAGGGACCAAAGGGGCACCCAGCUGGGUACCCAUCCCAGGGUGUAGCUGGAGAGGGCCCUGGGGGAUGGGAGGGACAUGGGAGGAAGCCAGGGAAGGUGUCAUUUCAGGCAAAAAGCCCUGUACCAAGGCUUGGAGGUGAGGGAUUCAAGAUACACUUAGAACCUGAGGAGUUCAGCUUGGCUGGUGGAGAAAGAGGGAAGGGAGGAGGGUGGGAGCCCCACAGAUGUCCCACACCUCUUAUACCAAAGCCCAGGCCUGGGCACUCAUCCUGGGCAGGGGCAGGGGAGGGGGCUUCCCCUUGGACAUAGCAGGCAGGGGCACCUUUUAAAACCAACAAAUUUUGUGGCCCUGACCUUUUGCAACCCAUCUGAGAAGACUUAUUUAUAUUCUGGGCCCAGUAGGCUGGCAUGGCUUGGCAGGGAGCAAGCAUGCAGUGGCAAGAAUUCUGAGCUUAGAAAGACCUGCUUUGAGUGCCAGCUUGAGGACAAUGGUAAUGCCAGCCCCACUGAAGUUGUGUAAAGGCUAAAUGUAGCUGCACCUGUGAAGCAUCUUGCACAUGCCUGGCAUUCAAAAGAAAUAUCUUCCCCCUUUACCUUGCUUUUGAGCCCCACCUGAAGACACCAUAUCACCAUCACCACAUGUCACCCCAUAACCUGACAGGGAUCAACACCCUCCUGGCAUCCCCUGUGUCCCUCCAAUUAAGUUCUGCUCUCAACCCUUCUCCUCAUGUAACUCUGGGUUAGACAAACCAGAAGCAUUCCCCCAUAGCAGUCCCUGCCAUACAAUAACUGUAGCACCCAUUAAAAAAAUGAAUUGGAGUUCCUGCUGUGGCUCAGAGGAGUAUCAACCUGACUAGUAUUCAUAAGGAUAGGGGUUCGAUCCCUGGCCUCGAUCAGUGAGUGGGUUAAGGAUCCAGCAUUGCUGUGGCUAUGGCAUAGGUCAGCAGCUGCAACUCUGAUUUGACCCCUAGCCUGGAAACUUCCAUAUGCCACAGGUAUGGUCAUGAAAAGCAAAAAUAGAGAAAUAAAUAAAGAAUGAAUGAAUGAUAACCAGACACACUGAGACUCGCCCCAUGGCUCUAUUGCUUCAUAUUUGCAAAUGUACUUGACUUCCAUUAUUUCUUUUUGAUGAUACAAAAGGAAUAUCAGUGAGUAUUGUAAUCCUUAUUGGGCAGAUAAGAGCCCUAGGUUCAGAGAGGUUAAAUGACUGACCCUGACCUUAGCUUUCAAUGUGUAGCUCCUCAUUUUCUAAACAGAGUUGUCACAGCUCUGCAGAAGCUGCCUCCCAGCAAAUGUUGCAAUGGGCAAAUAUUUUAAGGUAAACUUUCAGUUUCUUUUAAGCAUCCUGAGGACUCAGAGGAGCAUGGGCUUUUCCCCACUAGUCAAUUUCUAGUUUUGUGUUCUUUCAUGGAUAUUUUAAGUUUUCUGUGCAAAACUUAAAGAGUGUAGCAGAGUCUUUCUGAAUACCAUUUCUGCUCAAGAAUCCUUCUGGUUAUGUCAGUGAAUGAUAAGGACCUUUUUUUUUUUUCUUUUCUCCUUCCUUCUUUCCUCUCCUUCCUUUCUGCUUCCUUCCUUCCUUCUUUUCUAGGGCCAUACCUGCUGCGCAUGGAGGUUCCUAGGCUAGGGGUCAAAUUGGAGCUACAGCUGCCAGCCUACACCACAGCCACAGCAAUGCCAGAUCCAAGCCGCAUCUGCAACCUACACUGCAGCUUGUGGCAACACCAGAUCCUUAACCCAAUGAGCAAGGCCAGGAUAGAACCUGUGCCCUCAUGGAUACUAGUCGGGUUCUUAACCAACUUAUCGCGUUCUUAUCACAACAGGAACUUCAAUGAUGAGGAUCACCUUCAAUCUGCACACCUGCCAGACUACACUCAUAGCAGUAAAAAUAAAGCUCCCUAUUUUCUUAAUAAUCAAAAAUGGUCUCCUCUAAAUGUGGAAAAGAGAGCCCAGAUGAAAGGUUUAAUUACUCC